rnacentral:rRNA from 1 species
UACGUAGGGUGCAAGCGUUGUCCGGAAUUAUUGGGCGUAAAGAGCUCGUAGGCGGUUUGUUGCGUCGGCUGUGAAAUCCCGAGGCUCAACCUCGGGUCUGCAGUCGAUACGAGCAAACUAGAGUGUUGCAGGGGAGACUGGAAUUCCUGGUGUAGGGGUGAAAUCCGUAGAUAUCUGGAGGAAUACCGAUGGCGAAGGCAGCUUUCUGGCUCGUAACUGGACACUGAGAUUCGAAAGCGUGGGUAGCAAACAGG